rnacentral:sRNA from 1 species
GAAAGACGCGCAAAUUUGUUAUCAUCCCUAAUUCUCUAAGAGAUUUUAUAUUUGGCCACUUAACGUGGCCAUUU